ensembl:lncRNA
CUCCAGACUUCCAUGGAGUCCACACGGUACAUCACCAACUUGAAGAAGUUUACCGCUUACCUCACUUCAGCCCUGUGUUUCACCACGCCGGGGGACGGGCCGCCCCAGCACGCCGCAGCUCGUGCGGACUCAUGAAGACAAACCAGGGGCGGUGGGACAUCUGAGCUUCACGGAGAUCCUGGACACGUCUCUCAAGGUCAGCUGGCAGGAGCCCCUGGAGAAAAACGGCAUCAUCACAGGCUACCAGGUUUCCUGGGAGGUGUACGGGAAGAACGCCUCGCGUCUCACACAUACUCUGAACAGCAGCACACACGAAUACAAGAUCCAAGGACUGUCGUCUCUGACAACUUACACCAUCGACGUGGCGGCUGUCACCGCCGUGGGGGCCGGCCUGGCCACCUCGUCCACCAUUUCCUCUGGAGUGCCCCCAGGUCAGUACACGUGUGGGUUUCCUACUUCCUCUUAGAGGCUGCUGCCACCCGAGGGGGCCGAUUUGUGCGGAAGCCACUGGGGGCCUUGAAAGGGAUGGGGGAGGGUGACCACCGACCUGGCGUUGGCCUGGCGUCCAGGGCCUUGGACAUGGCUUUGUCCCUCUCCUGCCAGCAUGCGGGGCCGUGGGAGUGUGCUGGGGUGCGAGGAGACUCUCAGGAGCCAGCACUGAGGCUCCCACCCUCAACCAAGGGAGAAGAGACCUUAUUUGGGAGAGGGAAGCGGAGAGCGCUUCUACUGCAAACCUGAACGAGAUAAAACGGUGCCCCCGUAGCAGCACGCUAGCAGUGUGGGCCUGCAGUAAGAGAAGGAAGUUGGGGGAGGAGGGGAGGAAAGCUGAAGAGGCAGAGGGGGGAGGAUCCGGGCUGCGGGUGGGCAAGGAGGGUGUCCGCCGGGCGAGUGGGUGCCACCUGUUCCCGCGUCCCGGGGGUUCGUGCCACCUCCUGUGUGUUCACACUCCAGCUCUAUAAGACUGCUGCUUGACUUUCUCCCCAAUCUUGGAGCUUCUGUUUCAAAUGAAAACUUUUUUCUAGGAAAGUCACAAAUACAGGUUAAAGUGGGAAAAUAGCACGGGGCUCUCAGCUCAGUCCAGUGAUUAAAGCUGUAAGUCCCUUUGCCUGUGGAAAGAUGUCAGAUCGCCCUGUGUUAGUCUCUGAGGACGGAACACCUGCCCUUCACAAGGGCCUGCAAGAUCCAUCCGAAGCCAGCGCGGUCCUCCCUGCUACCCCCACUUCCAGCUUAGCUGCCACAACCCAGUUAGUUUCUUGGAGCAGAGACACACACAUCUGACGAGACCACAAGACAAAUGCAGAACAAACAGGUCCCUCUGGGAGUGCACACGUCAGCCAUGCUUCUCGCAGGGGACUGCUCACUCACCAGACAGCUCUGCCGUCCGGCCCAUUGUGAAGGCAGCUAGGGCCUCGCAUGACCUCUGACCCUCUGUGAAGCAGCCUCCCGAGGCACAGGGCCCAGCAAGGCUUCCUGUCUCAGAUGGGCAAGCCACCCGCACGGGGCCUUGUCACACACCCAGCAUCAGUGUCCCCCUCCCGGCUCUGGGCCGAGGCUCCAGAGAUCUGCUGCAGAACGGAUGCCGGUGCUGCCCCCUGGGACUGCACUUUGAGAGUCAUUGCUCAAAGGCAGCUCAGCAUUUUCAAAAAAUGCAUUUACAGAAUAAAGUAAUACUGUCUGUUCUCUUUAAUGAAGUA